GGAGAGUGGGGGCUUCCCCAGCGGGAGAGGGAGGACGAUUCUGGAUGGCUUCCCUCCUUGUGGACAGAGUGAGUCUCUGCUAUGAGAAAGACCCGUGUUGGAGCCACACUGCCCGGGACAGCCCUGAAGCAGCCACGUCCCCACCUUUCAGGAGUCGGCCAAGAGCACGGUGGCUGCAGAAGGCCCUGGCUGAUGGAGAUAACAUUUGACAAACAGGUGCUUUUCCAAUUAUGGAUAACAACAGAAAAGCAGUCAUUGGUUUCUAAAAGGUCAUCAAGAUAUAAAGCCCGUUUGGGAAGGGAAUGACUUACGCAGUGGGCUUGUAUAAAUCUGGAGAAGUUUUAUGCACAAGUCGGACAAGAAAUGUGUUCUACAUACGGCUCGGGAGCCAGCAAGUGCGUAUGAAGCCCCUUCACAUGGCUAGUGGCAUCCUAAGGACCCGGCGACAAUUAGUCAUGGCGUCAUCGAACACCAGGCUGGAGGAGGUCUUGGAUGCCACAGCUCCUUUUGAAUUUCAAAGACGUUCAAAUCCCCAUCUGGCUGUUACACUUUUAGGCUAUUGAGAGUGAAAACAAGCACUGACAUGAACACCCAACCAGCUGCCGGUGACAUCGUCCCCUUCUGAGAUCUGAGGACAUGGAUACCCAACCACCUGCCGGUGACAUCGUCUCCUUCUGAGAUCUGAGGACAUGAACACCCAACCACCUGCCGGUGAUAUCGUCCCCUUCUGAGAUCUGAGGACGUGGAUAUCCAACCACCUGCCGGUGACAUUGUCUCCUUCUGAGAUCUGAGGACAUGGACACCAAACCACCUGCCGGUGACAUUGUCUCCUUCUGAGAUCUGAGGACAUGAACACCAAACCACCUGCCAGUGACAUCGUCCCCUUCUGAGAUCUGAGGACAUGGAUACCCAACCACCUGCCGGUGACAUCGUCUCCUUCUGAGAUCUGAGGACAUGGACACCCAACCACCUGCCGGUGACAUCGUCUCCUUCUGAGAUCUGAGGACAUGAACACCCAACCACCUGCCGGUGAUAUCGUCCCCUUCUGAGAUCUGAGGACGUGGAUAUCCAACCACCUGCCGGUGACAUUGUCUCCUUCUGAGAUCUGAGGACAUGGACACCAAACCACCUGCCGGUGACAUUGUCUCCUUCUGAGAUCUGAGGACAUGAACACCAAACCACCUGCCAGUGACAUCGUCCCCUUCUGAGAUCUGAGGACAUGGAUACCCAACCACCUGCCGGUGACAUCAUCUUCUUCUGAGAUCUGAGGACAUGGACACCCAACCACCUGCCGGUGACAUCGUCUCCUUCUGAGAUCUGAGGACAUGGACACCAAACCACCUGCCGGUGACAUCGUCUCCUUCUGAGAUCUGAGGACAUGAACACCCAACCACCUGCCGGUGAUAUCGUCCCCUUCUGAGAUCUGAGGACGUGGAUAUCCAACCACCUGCCGGUGACAUUGUCUCCUUCUGAGAUCUGAGGACAUGGACACCAAACCACCUGCUGGUGACAUUGUCUCCUUCUGAGAUCUGAGGACAUGAACACCAAACCACCUGCCAGUGACAUCGUCCCCUUCUGAGAUCUGAGGACAUGGAUACCCAACCACCUGCCGGUGACAUCAUCUUCUUCUGAGAUCUGAGGACAUGGACACCCAACCACCUGCCGGUGACAUCGUCUCCUUCUGAGAUCUGAGGACAUGGACACCAAACCACCUGCCGGUGACAUCGUCUCCUUCUGAGAUCUGAGGACAUGAACACCCAACCACCUGCCGGUGACAUCGUCCCCUUCUGAGAUCUGAGGACAUUGAUACCCAGCCACCUGCCGGUGACAUCGUCUCCUUCUGAGAUCUGAGGAUAUGGACACCAAACCACCUGCCGGUGACAUCGUCUCCUUCUGAGAUCUGAGGACAUGAACACCCAACCACCUGCCGGUGACAUCGUCCCCUUCUGAGAUCUGAGGACAUGGAUACCCAACCACCUGCCGGUGACAUCGUCUCCUUCUGAGAUCUGAGGACAUGGACACCCAACCUGCUGCUGGUGACAUCGUUCCCUUCUGAGAUCUGAGGACAUGGACACCAAACCACCUGCCAGUGACAUCGUCUCCUUCUGAGAUCUGAGGACAUGGACACCAAACCUGCUGCCGGUGACAUCGUCCCCUUCUGAGAUCUGAGGACAUGGACACCCAACCACCUGCCGGUGACAUCGUCUCCUUCUGAGGUCUGAGGACAGACACUCACAUGGACACCUAAACACCUGCCGAUGAUAUUGUCUCCUUCUGAAAUCUGAGGACAUGGACACCCAACCAGCUGCUGGUGACAUCAUCUCCUUCUGAGAUCUGAGGACAGACACUCACAUAGACGCCCAAUCAGCUGCUGGUGACAUUGUCUCCUUCUGAAAUCUGAGGGUUGGAACACAUUGGCCUGGCUCAGUGUUUCUCCAUGUGGUUUUGAGACCACCUGAGUUGGAACCGAUAUGGGUUCCCAGCCUCACGCCUGGAGAGCUGGAUUUUGCGAGUGUGAGGUUAGGUCCAGCAUCUGCAUGUGUAACGAGCUCCCAGGUGUUUCGUAGAUGCAUUAGGGCUUGAGAAGCUCCUUUCUAGCACCAUCUUCCUUUUUGCGCAUGAGGGAGUUCAGGUCCAGAGAAAUAAAGCAGCAAGGUUAGUGGCACAGCUGGCGCCCCCUGCUUUCUAGGAAUUUAGAAUAUUAUUGAAGAGAGAGGUAUUAGAACCUGUGAAGUCAAUACAGAGACCUCCAGGCGAGUGGCAUCCUCACUGAAACCACUGACAAGUAUGCUGAAUAGAAAGUGUCAUUUCUCCUGGAAGACCCUCAGUGACCCAGCUGGAGGGUCUCUCCUACUCAUCAGCUGUCCCUCACUCUGCCAUUUCAGCAGCUCUGCUCACCCUGAGCAUGCAGAGAGAGCAGCUUUUAAAUGAGUUCUAAUCCAGACCAGCUUGGCUAGCAUUGUCUGUGUAGAGGUGUGCUAGUAAGUCUAACAACUGGCUCUCUGAGAGAGAGUAGCCCUACCUAACUGGUAGCAUUUGCCACUUCCCAUGGUGUAAAUACUCCCAGCAUGGCCAACUUCAAGCUUACUAAGAGGAUUUCGCUGAUCAUGGUUUUGGGGAGAGAUGUGCAGAUUGACUCCUGCCAGCUAGUAGGAGCCGGCUCCAGCACACCACGGCAUCUGUGUCCAGGAACCAGGCUGAGAUGUGGGAAGGCCAGAGAAGGAGGAGGCUGGCAGAUGCCUGAGGGCUGGGAAGGAUUGCAUCCAGGAGGACGGCCGUGGUGGGCAUCCCUGCAUUGGGGGGCAGCCGGGCCCAAGAUCCAGGGGGACAGAAAGCACAAAUGGUGCUGGGGUUCAGUGCCACACUCACCCUGGGGCAGAGGAGGGUGACACUGGCCCUGCCACCUGACCUCAGCCUCAGGGGCUCCAGAUCCUAGCCAGAGGCCUUGAGUGCUUCCUGCCACAAAGGCAGGGGGUGGCCUGGGAUUUCCUCUCUGAUCGGAGCUGAUGUUUCCCUCCAGGAAACCAUCCCUGCUCACCUUGCUAGGCCUGGGGCAAGUUGGAGUGAAGGGCAGGUCCCUCAGCCUUGCCUUUGAGACCUUACCUUCCACUUCAUUCCCGUCUGUGGCUCUCAUUCCUUCCCCACCCCUGCCCUAUGCUCUGGUGAGAAGGUGCAACCCUGUGAGCCCCCAUAGCAAGGUUCACUCCAGCCGUGCUUUCUGCUUGCUUUUGGUUUGUGAAAACCCUCCACUUUCUUAGAGGCCUUCUGCAAAUGUCAUUUCUUCAUAAGGAUCUUCCUACCCCGCCCGAGCCAGGGAGAUCCCUCCCUUCUCUGAGCCUAGAGCACCAUGUCCCUUCCCUGUAGCCCUGGUGACGUGCACCCUGGAUGGUGGCCCUUCCAGUGACAUGGAGGAUGUUUUCCCUCUACAGACACUGUCUGGUUUUAGGAUCCCGGAGCCAGGCAUCUCGCUCACCCCUGUAGCCACCACAGCAUUCAGCCCUGCAGCCUGGGACCUUGCUAAGGUCUUGCUUUACCCCUAAAAACCAAAAAUAGUGUGUCACCUUUAGCAGUGAUUGCCAACGCCUCUGGAGUGCUGGCUGGGACAGGCAUCUCUAUUUUCAUCCUCACCAAUCCUGCCAGGGAGCUACUCUGGGGAGCCCCAUCCUGCUGAUGAAUGACCGAGUCUCGCAGCGAUGACGGAACCUGCAGGUCCCAGGCUUGGGCCCAGGUCUGUCUUUCUCCAGGGGCCUCACAUCCAUCUCCUUCCCAGCUCUCCUUUUCUGUAAGACUUCACAGAACAGGUUCAAAAUCCAUUUGCUGGCCGAGCACAGUGGUUCACGCCUGUAAUCCAGCACUGUGGGAGGCCUCGAGGCAGGUGGAUCACCUGAGGUCAGGAGUUCGAGACCAGCCUGGCCAACAUGGCGAAACCCCAUCUCUACUAAAAAUACAAAAAAUUAGCCGGGCGUGGUAUCAGGUGCCUGUAAUCCUGGCUACUCGGGAGGCUGAGGCAGGAGAAUCACUUGAACCCGGGAGGUGGAUAUUGCAGUGAGCUGGGAUCAUGCCAUUGCACUCCAGCCUCGGCAACAAGAGUGAAACUCCAUCUCGGACAAAAAAAUCCAUUUGCUAAUACCAGGCUGAGGGUGAGCUGCUGUUCUCACCUGGGAGAGAUGAUUUGUCAGAACAUGUCUUAAAACCGGCUGCUGCCAUGCAGAGAUAGCACAUGACACGUGCCACCAGCCAGAGCCGCUAGUCCAUGGGCCAGGUAGGGUCCUCCCCACCCCAGCUCCGGGAAUGGGACCCCAGGAUUGGCAACACCUGUGGAUGCCACAUGGGUCUGAGGUCACUGUGCAGUGCGGCGCUUGGGCAGUGACCUGGUCCUUUCACUCUUUCCUCCAUACUUCCUUAUCUCAAGGUAAGAAAGGAAGAUUGACAACUCAGGCUGUAGAGUCAGAGAGUCCUGGGAUCAAAUCCCAGCUUAACCAUAUAAUCUGUGUGACUUUGGGUGAAUGAUUGAAACGAUCUGUGCUCCGUGUCACCAUCCACACGGUAGGGAUCACAGUUGGUCUCUGUCUCUGGGAGGUCUGUGGGCUUUAAAUGAGACAGUAGAGAUGAAGUGCUUAGAGCUGUGCCCCGUGCAUGGCCAGUGUGCAAUGAGAUGGUCUCAGAGUAUUAUGGCUGGAGUCACCACUUGUAUUACCAGGAAGCCCAGCCUCUGUGAUUACAGGAUUCCAACUAUGGUGACUCUGCACCUCUUCCUUUUUCUCUUGCUUUCUCAUUCGUCUUAUUACCAUUUGCUGAAAUUAAAUCAGAACACACAGGGGAAGCACCUAUCCUUGCCCAGCACAUAGUAGGCAUCGUGCAGGAGUCUGUGAGUCACAUGGUUUACUCUUGCCCUCCUCCCCAUGGUUCCUAGCACGGUGUUGAAUGUGUAGCAGGCCCUCCCUAAUGGACCCAGGAGAUCAGCCUGGGCACUCUCUCAUUCUCCUCCUGCCUCCCACCCUUGAUUCCCUCAUAAGACAGCAGCACAAGUGACUUCUAGGGGAACCGUAUUAGUCUGUUGCUAAGACCAGAUAAUUUAUAAAGAAACGAGGUUUCAUUGACUCACAGUUCUGCAGGCUGUACAGGAAGCAUGGCUGGGGAGGCCUCAGGAAACUUACAGUAGUGGCAGAAGGCAAAGGAGGAGCAGGCGUCCUCACAUGGCUGGAGCAGGAGGAAGGGAGAGAGCGGGGAGGCGCCAUCACUUUUAAACAAACAGGUCUCGUGAGAACUCACUCACUGUACAGUCCCAAGGGGGAAUGUGCCAAACCAUUCAUGAGAACUCCGCCCCUCUGAUCCAGUCACCUCCCACCAGGUCCCACCUCCAACACUGGGGACUAUAGUUCGACAUAAGAUUUGGGUGGGGUGGCAGAUCCCAACCAUAUCAGAAAGGGUCUUUAUGAUCAGUGGAGAGUGGCAGGGAGGUGUGGACCAUGGGGAGACACAGUCCUCCUGGACCUUGGAGUGAGAGGAUUCAGUUUUAGCAAAAACAGGAGAUAAGACUGUCUGGAAUUGUCCUUCUGUGUGAAUGACCCGCUCAAGGUCUCAAGGCAACUGCAUGGCCCACCCGCUCCACUCAUGGCCCUCUCACCCCCAUUCGGCACCCCAGCCUUCUCCUUGUGGGGUCACCCCGCCCCACAGUCCGACCCGGGCUGGAGUGAAAUCUCGGCUGACUGAUGCGCCUUCACGGAAGAUGGCAUGGAGGGGAUCCACUGUCCCCCUCAGGCCUCUUCUCCAAGACAAAGGACAGUCAUGUACACUGGCUCACAGACCACAGAGAUGCUGGUAGUUGGUGUGCAAGAGCAUUUAUCAUGUUGGAGAAUGACAAAGAGGGAGCAGGUGUCUGACCUGGGAUGAGAGAACACGGAGCGGUGAAGGCACACCAGGGGUGGAGAGGGCAGAGACAGGCUGUCAUUUUUCAGCACAAUUUUCCUCCCUUUAAUGUUCCCAUAGAUUAUGGGACCGGAUCAUCUGAUGGCCGAAAGAGAUGUUUUAUGGUGCCAGGGUGGAAGGUUUGAGGAGAGGGAAAAAUGAUUGUGAACUUUCUGUCCUACAAAGGCUCUCAUGGUCUAUAGAAUACAAAGUUGAUUUUGCUUUGCUUUUCUUGGAAAUGUGCUAGAGAGGAGAAAGGUAAAUAGGAUUUACCAGCCUCCUCCUGCAUGCAAAGCAAAUGGAAAGAACCCUCCCCCCUUGAACCUCCGUUUUGCUUGGAAGAAGCGGGAUGUGUCUUCUUGUUCCCCUUCAAGGGAGAUUUAAGAGGUCCUCUCCUGGAACAGCACAGAGUUUAAUGCUAAAUACUUUUCAAAAUCUUUUGGUCAUCUACAGUUUUCUCUCCUCGGCUCUGCGGUCAGGAGGGUUUGAGGAAAGAGGUGGAAAGUUCUCUCUCCGAGGGACCCUGUCCCCAGGCCUCAUGUGUUCCAGGGCCCCGUUUGCAGUUCUUGGCUGUAUGAGUGAAAAUCUUUAUUGAAGAACCAGAUUUCUUUUUUGCAAGGAGAAAAAAGAAAAGAAACCAAUAUCCAAUUCAAGUAGGGGCCAACAAGCAAAUGAAAACAUGCUCAAAUUGAUUAGUUUUCAGGGACAUUCAAUUUAAAACCACAUGAGAUAGCAUUUCAUGCCCAUUAGGACGGCUGGAGUCAAGACGGAUGACAGCAAGUGUUGGUGAGUGUGUGGGGGGUUCAGAACCCUCGUGCCUUGCCUGUAGGAAUGUGAAAUGGGGCAGCCUCUUCGAAAAAUGGUUUUGUAGUUCUUCAAAAAGUUAAACAUGAAAGGCCAGGCAUAGUGGGGUGGCUCACACUUGUAAUUCCGGUACUUUGGGAGGCUGAGGUGGGAGGGUCACUUGAGCCCAGGAGUUUGAGAGCAGCCUGGGCAAUGUGGUAAAACUCCAUCUAUACAAAAAAUACAAAAACUAGCUGGGCAUGGUGGUGUGCACCUGUAGUCCCAGCCACUCGGGAGGCUGAGGUGGGAGGAUCGCCUGAGCCCAGGAAUUUGUGGCUGCAGUGAGCCGUGAUCAUGCCACUGCACUCCAGCCUGAGAGACAGAGUAAGACCCUGUCUCAAAAAAAAGAAGAGAAAAAGUUAAACAUUAAACUAUCAUAUAACCCAGGAAUUCUGUCCCUAGGUAUAUGCCCCAAAUAAUUGGGAACAAGUAUGUUGUUUGUUUUUUUUUGUUUUUGUUUUUGAGAUGGAGUUUUGCUCUUGUUGCCCAGGCUAGAGUGCAAUGGCAUGAUCUUGGCUCACCUCAACCUCCGCCUCCCAAGUUCAAGCGAUUCUCCUGCCUCAGCCUCCUGAGUAGCUGGGAUUACAGGCAUGCACCACCAUGUCUGGCUAAUUUUGUAUUUUCAGUAGAGACGAGGUUUCUCCAUGUUGGUCAGGCUGGUCUCAAACUCCUGACCUCAGGUGAUCCACCCGCGUCGGCCUUCCAAAGUGCUGGGAUUAUAGGCAUAAGCCACCACACGUAGCUGGGAACAGCUAUUUAAACAAAUGUUGUACACGAAUGCCCGCAGCAGGACUACUGACAAUAGCCCAAAACUGACAACAACCCAAAUGUCUGUCAAUGGAUAAAUAAAUAAACUGUGG
rnacentral:lncRNA from 1 species